GAUGAACGCUGGCGGCGUGCCUAAUACAUGCAAGUCGAGCGAACAGACGAGGAGCUUACUCCUCUGACGUUAGCGGCGGACGGGUGAGUAACACGUGGAUAACCUACCUAUAAGACUGGGAUAACUUCGGGAAACCGGAGCUAAUACCGGAUAACAUGUUGAACCGCAUGGUUCAACAGUGAAAGACGGUCUUGCUGUCACUUAUAGAUGGAUCCGCGUCGCAUUAGCUAGUUGGUAAGGUAACGGCUUACCAAGGCAACGAUGCGUAGCCGACCUGAGAGGGUGAUCGGCCACACUGGAACUGAGACACGGUCCAGACUCCUACGGGAGGCAGCAGUAGGGAAUCUUCCGCAAUGGGCGAAAGCCUGACGGAGCAACGCCGCGUGAGUGAAGAAGGUCUUCGGAUCGUAAAACUCUGUUAUUAGGGAAGAACAAAUGUGUAAGUAACUAUGCACGUCUUGACGGUACCUAAUCAGAAAGCCACGGCUAACUACGUGCCAGCAGCCGCGGUAAUACGUAGGUGGCAAGCGUUAUCCGGAAUUAUUGGGCGUAAAGCGCGCGUAGGCGGUUUUUUAAGUCUGAUGUGAAAGCCCACGGCUCAACCGUGGAGGGUCAUUGGAAACUGGAAAACUUGAGUGCAGAAGAGGAAAGUGGAAUUCCAUGUGUAGCGGUGAAAUGCGCAGAGAUAUGGAGGAACACCAGUGGCGAAGGCGACUUUCUGGUCUGUAACUGACGCUGAUGUGCGAAAGCGUGGGGAUCAAACAGGAUUAGAUACCCUGGUAGUCCACGCCGUAAACGAUGAGUGCUAAGUGUUAGGGGGUUUCCGCCCCUUAGUGCUGCAGCUAACGCAUUAAGCACUCCGCCUGGGGAGUACGACCGCAAGGUUGAAACUCAAAGGAAUUGACGGGGACCCGCACAAGCGGUGGAGCAUGUGGUUUAAUUCGAAGCAACGCGAAGAACCUUACCAAAUCUUGACAUCCUCUGACCCCUCUAGAGAUAGAGUUUUCCCCUUCGGGGGACAGAGUGACAGGUGGUGCAUGGUUGUCGUCAGCUCGUGUCGUGAGAUGUUGGGUUAAGUCCCGCAACGAGCGCAACCCUUAAGCUUAGUUGCCAUCAUUAAGUUGGGCACUCUAAGUUGACUGCCGGUGACAAACCGGAGGAAGGUGGGGAUGACGUCAAAUCAUCAUGCCCCUUAUGAUUUGGGCUACACACGUGCUACAAUGGACAAUACAAAGGGUAGCGAAACCGCGAGGUCAAGCAAAUCCCAUAAAGUUGUUCUCAGUUCGGAUUGUAGUCUGCAACUCGACUACAUGAAGCUGGAAUCGCUAGUAAUCGUAGAUCAGCAUGCUACGGUGAAUACGUUCCCGGGUCUUGUACACACCGCCCGUCACACCACGAGAGUUUGUAACACCCGAAGCCGGUGGAGUAACCUUUUGGAGCUAGCCGUCGAAGGUGGGACAAAUGAUUGGGGUG
rnacentral:rRNA from 1 species